AUCCUACUUCAUUUCCUUACAGAGGGUGAUGAGACUGGUGUGAUGGACAGUCUCCUGGAAGCCCUACAGUCAGGUGCGGCAUUCCGAAGGAAGAGAGGACCCAGACAAGCCAACAGGAAGGCCGGAUGUGCAGUCACCUCUCUACUUGCCUCAGAGCUGACAAAGGAUGAUGCCAUGACUCCACAUUCUUCUAAGGUGCCCAGGAUGAGUGAGGGAACCCGGGACAUCCACGAUGAAAAUAAGGAAUUGAUUGGUCGUGCGAGUUAGGCCUGGGCUUUGCGGCAACACUGGCUGAACAGCUGAGCCCAAGGCAGCCCUGCCUUGUAGCAUGAGCCUAAGGGGUCAAGUGGAUUUUCCUCUAUGGCAGCCCACCUUCCCUGCCUCCAUUCUUUGGCCUGCUGCUCUCUGUAUAGCAUACACAGCUUUAGCUGUCUGGAGGCAAGAAGGAAAGGGCACCUUGGAAGAAGCCCUGGACACCCACUCAGCACUGGCUGUUGCAUUACCAAAGCAGGGACCAUCUCCGCUGCCUUAACCCUAACUAUCUUUCCUUUGUUACUGUGGUGCCACAUCUCAGGUGGUGCCCAACCUGCUUCCUCAGUCCCUGGCUCCAAAGGAGCUCACCCCAAGGUCAAUCUUGCUGGAUUUGUGUUCUUUCUGCUGUCUUGUGCCCUGCCGUGGCUUCUCUAGCCCUAGGAACCACAUGGGGUUCUUGAACUUUCUGACCAUAUUUUUAGAUCUCCUAUCAUUGCUGCCAUUCAUGCUUUCUUCUCCCUCUCUCCAUUUGCUAUUGAUAUUUAUUGUUUGUGGUGAGGUGUGGGUUGCUGCUUCUAAAGAAAUGAGGAGCAGCUCUUACCCUCAUUCCCCUCCCCUCCCCAGGGAAGGACUCCUCCUCCCAGCUUCACAAAGCAAAAAGAACUGGACCACUACUAUCCAGCUGUGGCAUGAACUAGAGCACCUGAGGAAAAAUGACCCUAGAGUCUGAGCAUUGCUGGACAGGGCAUCAAGACAGGACAGCCUCCCCACACCCUCAGCUUAACUGAGUGUCCUGUUUACUGUCCCUCCCUCCCUUUGUCUUCUGCACUUGCCCCCCACUGCCCUUGUUAUUCUUAGGGCCUUGGCUCAUCUUCCCCUGAAGUUUCAGCUGUUGUAUGGCUGCAAAAGGCCCCCAUCCUCUCCAAGUCUCCAGGGAAAGGGGAGGCAGAGCCUCCUGGCUAAGAAAUUGUUUUGCAAAUGGAUCUAUUUUUGUAUAAGAUGUUGUUUUUUAGAAAAUAUACAAAAAACCCCUCUUCCCUGUUUCCUGGCCCUUCUCCCUCCUGAAUGUGAGAGUUCCUGGCAUUUCUCCCCUUCACUUAUCCCCGGAGACCAAGACCCGCCUCACUGCCCUCAUCUGAAUGUGUCCCGUGGGCAGGUUCAAAUUCCAAGUCCCCAGCAAUAGUUCUGGAUUAUUAAUUUCUGAGAUCUGUGGGUAGCUUGGUACUUUUUCCCUGACCAGACAAGGCCAGGCCAAGGAGCUGAGAGGACCCAGGUACUGCUGAGUUUUUUAUAAAUUUAAUAUAUUUGAAGAGCCAAAUGUGCAAAUGCUAACUGGGCACCACCGUGGGGGAGGAGAGAAGUCUAGAUUAAGGGUUGGGGCGUGGGGUGGAAUCAUGUGAGUAGGAUGCUCUGGAAUCAUGGCAGUAGGAUGCUCCAUAGGCCCUGUACCCUCACCCUGCACUGGAUACAAUUUUGUGCCAUAUCCCCUAGCAAGGUAAAGCUAGAAUUCCCAAAUGCAGGGGAUCAUCCCUGCUCUCCUCAUAUCCCCUUCAUUUCCUUACUCAUAGAUAAGAAGAAGAGAGUGGGGCCCUCUAAGUUUAAUCCCAGGAAUGGUAGUUGCUGGGACAAGAGGAAGGGUUAGGAGGAAAUCUAGAGGCCUCAAGGGCAGAAAAGGAAUUCUGGGAGUUGGGGAGGUCCAAAAUCCUGGGCUUGGGAUUUGGGGCAACAGCAGCUGCUAUGAGAACUUUUUUCGAAUGCUGUGGUGUAGGGAGUACUUGCUACUCCCAUUGUCCCUCCCUGCUGGCUGACACUUGGACUUUGAGCCUUUCUUUUUUAAAUCACUUUUGCUAAGAUGCAUUUGAUAAAAAAAAAUAAUAAUAAAAGGCAAGAUACAAAUCUAUUUCCCUCGCCUCUCAGGCUUCUGGGACAUGUCAUCACCUCUGAUUUGUUGGAUUUAUUUGUUUCAAACUGUUAAUAAAACAUUGGAAUGGUA